rnacentral:lncRNA from 1 species
AACCCUCUGGGAGGCAGCCCGUGACAUCUUGUCCAGCGGAAGGAGACUGUGUCCCACCCUGCUCAUGGAUGCCCUGCUCUUUAGUACAAAAUCCACACCCUCCCUGUGGGACCGUGAUGGACAAAUAGAGUGACCAGAGGCAGCCGUGGCCCAGCCAGCCGCAGCCCACACCUCACAGAAGAGGAGACAGUCUGUGAGCACAAUGUUCCGUCAUCAGAGUCAACUACUUUCCAGCCCUGAGGUGGGGAUGUUUCAGUUUGGAGACAGAGCACAGAGGACUGGUGUGGAUGGUCCUGGAAGCAAGGGGGCCAGCCCAGCCCCUUCUCCCCAGCCUGGCUCCUGACCUCUGUCCUGUGUGCGCCUGACACUCCCGCUUCCUCCUCCCGGAUUGCCUGCCGUCCAGUCCCUGUGGUCACACCCGCACAUCAGGACAACUCCCCCACCAUGUGGAAGGGGCGAGUCAGGAAACUCAGCGGCACAGGGACCUGAUCACACUACACACAGGCUUUCACGGGACUUUAUCCUAUUUAUGGGCAUCUCGGUCAUGAUUAACACAGGCCCCAGGGACCAAAAGUUCCCCUCAGUGCUUCUGAAGAUGCUGGGUAAUGUUAGUGCAGGGAGGUUAUACGCACUUUCUGCAUCUCGGCCCUGCAGCACAGCAAUUGCUGUUGGUGGAAGUCAUCAUCCUAAUUCUCUCAGUCAUCUUUGCAAUUAGUUCUCAUUUACUUCUAGUACCACAUGACUGCACGCUUCUUAGACUGGAAAAUACACAGCCUGAAUUCUGUGCAGGGAGGAUGCAAAAGUGGAGCAUCAAGUUUAUCAACAGGAAUUGGAAGAAGCAAUGAGUUGACAAGAACUCUCCCCCUCCCCCUCUCACGUGGAGGACAGAAGAAUCGGGUAGGGAGACACGCCCAGGAGAGGCAGUCCAGUCUCUGCGGUUUCAGCCGAGUCCUCCAGGGACAGCAUGGACCCAGCCUCCAGCCUGCUGACCACUGGUGGACAGGUCUGGGACAACUGACAGCAGGGCCCUGUGGGUCCAGGUCAGCUGGCUGCAUGUUCAGGAGCAGGAUCCCUGGUAGCGGCUCUUCAUGUCUUUCAGUUCUUAACAAGAUAUAUGAUGGGCAAGUAUCUUCUCU